UACCGGGUCGUCUAAUGGUAGGACACUAGGUUUUGGUCCUAGUAAUCGGGGUUCGAGUCCCUGCCCGGUAGCCA
rnacentral:tRNA from 1 species